rnacentral:rRNA from 1 species
UACGUAGGGUCCGAGCGUUGUCCGGAAUUAUUGGGCGUAAAGGGCGCGUAGGCGGUUCGUACAGUCAGACGUGAAAUUCCUGGGCUCGAACCUGGGGGCUGCGUUUGAUACGUGCGGACUUGAGUACUUAAGAGGAUCGCGGAAUUCCCGGUGUAGAGGUGAAAUUCGUAGAUAUCGGGAGGAACACCAGUGGCGAAGGCGGCGAUCUGGGAAGAUACUGACGCUGAGGUGCGAAAGCGUGGGGAGCAAACAGG